rnacentral:rRNA from 1 species
UGACGCUGGCGGCUGCUUACACAUGCAAGUCGAACGGCAGCGCGGGGCAACUUGGCGGCGAGUGGCGAACGGGUGAGUAAUAUAUCGGAACGUACCCUGGAGUGGGGGAUAACGUACGAAAGUUACGCUAAUACCGCAUACGAUCUAAGGAUGAAAGCAGGGGACCGCAAGGCUUGUGCUCCUGGAGCGGCGAUAUCUGAUUAGCUAGUUGGUGGGGUAAAGGCCUACCAAGGCAUCGAUCAGUAGCUGGUCUGAGAGGACGACCAGCCACACUGGAACUGAGACACGGUCCAGACUCCUACGGGAGGCAGCAGUGGGGAAUUUUGGACAAUGGGCGCAAGCCUGAUCCAGCAAUGCCGCGUGAGUGAAGAAGGCCUUCGGGUUGUAAAGCUCUUUUGUCAGGGAAGAAACGGGUGGAGCUAAUAUCUCUGCCUAAUGACGGUACCUGAAGAAUAAGCACCGGCUAACUACGUGCCAGCAGCCGCGGUAAUACGUAGGGUGCAAGCGUUAAUUCGGAAUUACUGGGCGUAAAGCGUGCGCAGGCGGUUUUGUAAGUCUGUCGUGAAAUCCACGGGCUCAACCUGGGAAUUGCGAUGGAGACUGCAAGGCUAGAAUCUGGCAGAGGGGGGUAAAUUCCACGUGUA